GAGCGGAGGCAGAGGAACGCGGCGCAGCUCGACGGUGGCAAGGCAGCACCGGACUUGGGCUCCGGUGGGGCAAGGGAGGUGAGGAGGUUCACCGGCCAGAGUGGCAGUGGCGUGCAGCAUGCAGGAGAGGCGCACGAGGAAGGAGACCAAGGCACUGUAGCAGGCCGGCAGGGGCGGCUGGAGGGUCGCCGUUGUUGGUGGUUGCCGGCUGCUGCUGCUGCUCCGGCAAGGAGGUGGAGGAGCAUAGAAGGCUCAGGGAAGGGGAGGCCCAGCCGCUCCCUCUUGAGGAGGCAUUCGGCGGUGGACGAU
rnacentral:rRNA from 1 species